CGGCAGGCUUAACACAUGCAAGUCGAGCGGUAGCACAGGGGAGCUUGCUCCCCGGGUGACGAGCGGCGGACGGGUGAGUAAUGUCUGGGAAACUGCCUGAUGGAGGGGGAUAACUACUGGAAACGGUAGCUAAUACCGCAUAACGUCGCAAGACCAAAGAGGGGGACCUUCGGGCCUCUUGCCAUCAGAUGUGCCCAGAUGGGAUUAGCUAGUAGGUGGGGUAAUGGCUCACCUAGGCGACGAUCCCUAGCUGGUCUGAGAGGAUGACCAGCCACACUGGAACUGAGACACGGUCCAGACUCCUACGGGAGGCAGCAGUGGGGAAUAUUGCACAAUGGGCGCAAGCCUGAUGCAGCCAUGCCGCGUGUGUGAAGAAGGCCUUCGGGUUGUAAAGCACUUUCAGCGAGGAGGAAGGUGGUGAGCUUAAUACGCUCAUCAAUUGACGUUACUCGCAGAAGAAGCACCGGCUAACUCCGUGCCAGCAGCCGCGGUAAUACGGAGGGUGCAAGCGUUAAUCGGAAUUACUGGGCGUAAAGCGCACGCAGGCGGUUUGUUAAGUCAGAUGUGAAAUCCCCGGGCUCAACCUGGGAACUGCAUUUGAAACUGGCAAGCUAGAGUCUCGUAGAGGGGGGUAGAAUUCCAAGUGUAGAGGUGAAAUUCGUAGA
rnacentral:rRNA from 1 species